CCUACGGGCGGCAGCAGUGAGGAAUAUUGGUCAAUGGCCGGAAGGCUGAACCAGCCAAGCCGCGUGAGGGAGGAAGGCGCAGAGCGUCGCAGACCUCUUUUGCCGGGGGACAAAAGGCCGGACUCGUCCGGUCCUGAGGGUACCCGGAGAAAAAGCAUCGGCUAACUCCGUGCCAGCAGCCGCGGUAAUACGGAGGAUGCGAGCGUUAUCCGGAUUUAUUGGGUUUAAAGGGUGCGCAGGCGGGCCGUUAAGCCGGCGGUAAAAUCGCGGGGCUCACCCCUGCCGAGCCGUCGGAACUGGGGGUCUUGAGUGUGGCGGAGGCAUGCGGAAUGCGCGGUGUAGCGGUGAAAUGCAUAGAUAGCGCGCAGAACCCCGAUUGCGAAGGCAGCGUGCCGGGCCGCCACUGACGCUGAGGCACGAAAGCGCGGGGAUCGAACAGGAUUAGAUACCCUAGUAGUC
rnacentral:rRNA from 1 species